GUUGGCUUCAGCAGCAACAUAUACUAAAAUUGGAAUGAUGCAGAGAAGAUUAGCAUGGCCCCUGCACAAGAAUGACAUGCAAAUUUAUGAAGUGUUCCAUAUUUUU